rfam:Myotis brandtii contig257827, whole genome shotgun sequence.
GGCAGUUCUUAUAUGAUGCACCCCAGAAUCAGACUCCCUCCUUUCUGGUUCCAGGUGCAUCACCCAAGAAUCGCA